rnacentral:misc_RNA from 1 species
AACGCACAUUGCGCCCAUCAGUAUUCUGGUGGGCAUGCCUGUUCGAGCGUCAUUUCAACCCUUAAGCCUCUGUUGCUUAGUGUUGGGGGCCUACAGCCGUAGCCCCUGAAAGUCAGUGGCGGAGUCGGUCUCACACUCCGGACGUAGUAGUUUUCUCUCGUCCGCGGUUGGGCCGGCGUCCUGCCGUAAAACACCACCAAUUCAAAGGUUGACCUCGGAUCAGGUAGGAAUACCCGCUGAACUUAA